GAUGAACGCUAGCGGCAGGCCUAACACAUGCAAGUCGAGGGAGAGGUUACCUUCGGGUAACCAAAACCGGCGCACGGGUGCGUAACGCGUAUACAAUCUGCCUUUCACAUAGGGAUAGCCCGAAGAAAUUUGGAUUAAUACCUAAUGGUAUAUAAGAGCGGCAUCGUUUUUAUAUUAAAGCUACGGUGGUGAAAGAUGAGUAUGCGUUCUAUUAGCUAGUUGGAGAGGUAACGGCUCCCCAAGGCGACGAUAGAUAGGGGUUCUGAGAGGGAUGUCCCCCACACUGGUACUGAGAUACGGACCAGACUCCUACGGGAGGCAGCAGUGAGGAAUAUUGGACAAUGGUCGGAAGACUGAUCCAGCCAUGCCGCAUGCAGGAUGAAGGUCCUAUGGAUUGUAAACUGCUUUUGUAAGGGAAGAAUAAGGAGUACGUGUACUUUGAUGACGGUACCUUACGAAUAAGCAUCGGCUAACUCCGUG
rnacentral:rRNA from 1 species